AAGUGCUUAGCUUAGUGGGUCUAAAGCACUGGUCUCAUAAGCCAGAAAUCGUUGGUUCAAAUCCAAUAGCACUUA
rnacentral:tRNA from 1 species